GACGCGUUAGCUUAGCAACUAAUAGCUUUCCAGAAACCUUAAUCCUAACCGUGGAUCCAAAUGCAACGGGAACGAAUGAGUCAACUUCUGGUCUGUCUGAGGUAGAGCAGUGGCUCGGAAAGCCGCCAGUCGGGGGUUCGAAUCCCUCACGCGUCACCA
rnacentral:tRNA from 1 species